ensembl:lncRNA
CAAGGUGUUUUGGAGUAGUUAUCUCUUAAACGGCUGGGGCAAAGAAUUCUGGAGAUUGGUCAGAGGCUGGACCAGCUGGGACCUGGGUGGUGGAGAUGUAAUCUUCAAUGUGUUCAAACAUGGAUCCUUGAGGACUCAAGACCUAGAUAUCUGCCAGAAGUUGUUCCAGGAAUAAUUGCAGCCAUGAAAACGACAGGCUCAUCUGUUGCCAGUUGGGGCCAGGAGAAGCCGUGAGAGCUGUAGAGUUGUAGGGACUGUGUGAGAAACUUGAUAAGUAUUAGUCUGGCAAGCAUUUUCAUCAUUGGGCUGCAUAAACUUUUUUAAACGAGUGAUGUGUACCCAAGGGAUGAUUUCUUUUAAUUUUGCGGUGGUAGGAGUCAGCAGAAUUACCAUGUAGGGACCUUGUCAUUUUGGGGUUAGAUCUGAGUGGGACUGAACUGUCAUAUAGACUUUGUCUCCUACCUGAAGGGAUGGGUAUGGAAGAUUGUGGUGUCGUCGAGGGAGUAAGUUAUCCAUAUGUUGCCAAAGGGCAUCUUGUAUCUGGGCAAUUAAAGGAAAAGGAAGGUGGGAAGGAAAUUUGGGACUGUCCUGGGACGGGGGAAGACCCAGAGUAUUAUGGGCCUCUCAUACGUGGCCUCGAAUGGACUGAUAUUUAAGGGUUUUUUUUUUUUGGUAAGGCCCAGACCUUUAAGAGGGCUAAAGGGAGAAGUUUAGUCCAGUCUUAAUGAAGUUCGAUCGUUAAUUUGGUCAGAAUUUCUUUUAGGACUCGGUUGGCUAUCUCAACCUUACCGGAAGACCAGGAAUGAUAAGGAAUGUUAAACCUCCAAGGAACUUGAAGGGCUCGUGCAAUAUUUUGGGU